GUAACUUUUAUUUAGUUUUUUUAUUGUAUGUAUUAAAUACUAUAGUCCUUGCUGCCGCCCAAGAGUAGUGGGAGUUUGAGCACAGGGCUAGAUUCUGCAUGGAGGAUAUUUAUCAUCUGUGAUCUGUACAAUAUGGUAAAAGUACUAAAAGUGGGUCAAUCACCAUGGAAACCAGUAGACCCAGCAGGCACAUUCAAUUGGUGACCACAUCCUUUACAGGUUUUGCACCAAUGCUUAGACCAGAAAAUUUAAAAUAAAAUUCCCAAUGUUUCUGUUCUGCUUCUCAUUUCCACUGUGCUCUUCACUGUGCUUGAACUAAUCUUGAUUGUAACGUCACAUGUCAAAUCUUUAAUAUACUUACUA